rnacentral:misc_RNA from 1 species
GGUGUACUGCAAUAUUUAGUUUAUAAAUCGCGUAAUACUAUAUGAAUAUAAUAAACCCGUGUAGUAUUUCGUAUUGUAAACAUACACCCACAUAAUAUUAUAUCGUAUAGCUUUGGACGCGUCGGGCGAUAAAGUGCACCCGAUUAUCGAGGGGCGGUCACCUUCGUGGGCACUCCGGACCAUGGAAAUCCGCGUAUCAUACGUCGCCGUAGUGUUCACCUGUUGCUGUGGCUGGCUGUCCAGCGUACGAGGCCACGCGAUUGACUUUAAAACCAUGCCCAUGACCCUACUGAAUGCCACCAAUUUCAUUAUGCGACACCAGAGGUAUUUGCUGCAAGACCACGAACGCGCGACUGACGUACAGGAAUCGAGUAACGAAGUGAACAUGAAUAUUGAUGAGAACGUAGACGGCUUUGUUAACAGCCCUUUAGUUUUAACUACUGAAGUGUGCAACCCGAGAAAAUGUCAAGCCGGUAAAAUGGAAGGAGUGUGUAUUAGCGGCGAAUCGUGUUUCAAACACGGUGGUCAGACCGGAAACCCUUGCAACGGAUCGAGUAAUCUGAUUUGUUGCACAUUUAUACUUACGUGCGGUGACGUCUCCAAUCAAAAAGUGACGUACCUGCAGUCUCCUGACAAUUUAAAAAUGGAUACGGGCAGUUUGGCAUGUGAUUAUGAUGUAAUGGUUCAAAAGGAUACGUGUGCCGUCCGUGUGGAUUAUGAAAAAGUGAAUCUCGCCAGCAAGAUAGGAGGAGUAUGUGACAUAGAUCAAGUUUACAUUUUGAAUUCCAACGAUGGACCGACGACGGGUCAGUGUGGAGCAUUGACUGGUUACAGCACUGUCGUUGCUGUGAAACCUAACCAAGAAAAACCUUUGAAAAUAGCAAUGGUUGUUCAGAGUGAACCGACCGAAUAUUGGCUGAUCAAAGUGUCACAAAUAGGUUGUUCCGAAAUAAAACCACUCAAAGAAUCACCCGACUGCGGUCUGAGGUCCGUCCGACAAAUGAACAACGACAACUUCGACGAUCAAUCACCGCACCUGACGCCGUCGUUAGAACCCGGACGUUGUGGCGGCAGAGGUGGCAGUGGCGGUACUAGUGACAAGGGUAUCAGUGGUGGCAAUGGCGUCAGUGGCAGCGACGGUGCCGGCAACGCUAUGAGUCAACGGCUUAAGCGUCGCUCUGCGGUCUAUGGCGGCGUGCACGACGUCCUACAACCGUGGCGAAUGAGCCGGUCUGGAGGUCACUUCGGGUCAGCUAGAGAACGGUUGCACACCGUGCGGCGCGAAGAAUUCAGGGACGGUGACAACCGGAGGAUUAUUGGCAGCGACGAGGCGGACAUUGGCGAGCACACCUGGCAAGUGGCCAUCGCCUUGGACGGGGUGUUCUUCUGCGGUGGUGCGUUGAUCGCCGAUCGAUUCGUCAUCACUGCUGCCCACUGUGUCAUGACACGUGACACGCCGAUGGACAACUUGAUGGUGCAUCUGGGCGACUACGAUUUGACUGCGGAAAACGAAACCGAACACCAAGCUCGGAAAGUGUCUCGCGUGCUGUUCCACUCUCAUUUCCAUCCGUUCUUAUUGGCUAACGAUAUAGCGCUGUUACAGCUCGAUCAGCCGGUCGCCGCUAGCGACACAGUCCGGCCCGUGUGUUUGCCGUUCACCGACGGCGAGUCGUAUGUGGGCCAAAAAGGCACUGUCGUGGGAUGGGGGAUCACUGCGUUCCCGGCGGGCGAUCCUAGCCCCACGUUGCAGAAACUCUCCGUGGAAGUCCUGUCAAACUUCCAGUGUUCCCGCGUCAUCGACGAUCAUGUAGGUCUAGGCAUGCUGUGCGCCGCUGCGCCAUCGUUGCAGGGGACGUGUUUCGGUGACAGCGGUGGCCCCCUGACCGUGGAACGGGACACCGGAAGAAACGUUUUGAUCGGCCUGGUGAGUUAUGGCGUGACGGGCUGCGCGGUCAAGCCCGCUUUUCCCGACUUGUACACCAGAAUAUCCGAGUACGCCAAAUGGAUUGACGUCAGCACCUCGUAGUAAUAAUAAUACUAAUGAAUAAUGAUAAUAAAGAUAAUUAUAAUGUAGUACACAGUCGUUGAGCACACAGUUUUAUACAUUUUAUAAUAUUAUAUUCAUAACGAUAAAAUGCCUGUUCGAUAGGUGGUGACAUGAUAACAAUAUUAUUAUAUUACCUCGACACAGACUAAGAACACACUGUAGUCACCAUGUCUAUGCAUAUUUUAUUUAUGAUAUUAUUAUUACAAUUCACGAGAACCUUUCAUAUUAUAUAUAAUAUAUGAACUAUAAUAUACCAGUCAUCGCUUGCGCCGUCCUUUGCCCUAUAUGUAUAAUGUAUAUUGUAUGAUUUAUUAUUUCUACCCAGACGUGCACAUGUGCCGCCGCGAUCUCGACGGCAGAAAUAAUUUGAUUAUUAGCAUUAUUAUUAUUAUUAUUAUUAUUUUUGAUCCUGAUUUCAAAAACAGACGUAACAAUAAAUAUCGUAUUAUGCUUGUGCUUAAAUUAAAAUAACACACAAGUUCCUAAUCCUAAUGGCCAGUGAGAAAUACCUCAUCACCAGUUGCAAUGUACAACUUGCACCACUUGCGGUGUUAAUCUAAUAGUAAAAUACAUAACAACAAAAUGCUAACCAAUUCAUCAACGACCAAAAAAAAUAUAACGUUCCACCCAACAUGAACGAACCAUUAGGUUCCAACACAAUGAACGGCUGCAUACAAACUGAGUCCCAAUAAAACCUUCGAGUCCCCGAUUGUUUUAAGAGCCGUAAGUCUGUAUACAUCAUUAUUUUGGAG